rfam:Triticum aestivum genome assembly, contig: Triticum_aestivum_CS42_TGACv1_scaffold_377393_5AL
UUAGUACUCCCUCCGUCCCGAAUUAUUUGUUGCACAAAUGGAUGUAUCUACACGUAUUUUCAGUUCUAGAUACAUCCUUUUCUAUCCAUUUCUUCGACAAGUAAUUUGGAACGGAGGGAGUACUAC